CUCUGUCUCUGUCUCAAAAUUAAUAAACAUUAAAAAAUUAAAAAAAAAGAUAAUAUCAAGAUGUUUUAAUAUGUUUAGUUAAAAAACUAAAAUGUGCACAGAAGCUCAAAACUUUUUCUGAUAUCACUGAGGUCUAGGAGACAUGGUGAUAUGGCACAUUCCUGCCAUAGUGAGAUUUUGAAAGUUGGGCCACAAAUGAUAUUUCUUGUAUCUUGUUUACUAAAGGCUUUAGGUCAGUAUAGGAUUCUUUCCAUUUCAUAUUUAUUAACAAUUAUGCAUUUGUAACACUUGGAGGGAAGUGUUGCCUAAGAGUAGAGGAACUAUUCAUUUCUACAUCCAGUGUAGUUCUUUUUCUGUCAAGCAAAUGGAAUAAGCACACCUCGAUUCAUACACACUUCAUACAAGUAGAACUUGUUUCGGUGUUAAAUCAGGUAUUAAAUAUAUUUUGUCUCUUGGGUGGGGUUGAAACAGUUAGGAAUUCAAGACUAAAAGGGGUAGUGUUAACAUGAAGGUAUAGAAUAAAGGUACUUCUUUAACUGGUAACAAGGCCUGUAUUUCAGACAUCGGGAAUGCAAACAAACAUGUCUAUAAUAUAAUGUGUUUAAAUUCUUACCUGUUUUGUUUGUGUCCUCACAGAAGCUUAAUAAGAAACUAGUUUUACUAGUGAAUUUAUAGUUGUGCUAGUACCUGUGACACUGUAUUUUGUUAUUAUUUUUGCUAAAGGAAUGUAACUUGGCAGCCCCUCUUUGGCUCUGAGAAUCUGUUGUGAUUUAUGGCAAUUUACCUCCCUACCUCCAUCCACCCUGCCAGAAGUCUCUGGGCCUGUUGCCUGUUGUUGUUGUUGGUUUUUUUUUCCUCGCUAAGAUAAUAUCCUGAACUUCUGAAUCAUAUAAGGUAGUGAUUUUGAACAACAGCAAGGUGAAGGAAGUAAGAAAUAAUCCUUUAAAUGGCUGUAUGGCUGGAUUGCAUGGGAACAUAGUAGAGGCAUUCCUCUCCUUGAGUCACAAUUGUUCCUAGGAAGCCUCAGUGUUCAGAAAAUAGUGUUUUCUCACAGGAAUAAGUUAUUGGAGUUCAUAUUUCUUCCCAAGAAUGUUCAAAGAGGCAUAAAUGGUAUAUUAUGAAAGCAGAGGUACCAUUUGUUUAGGACUCCAUUUGCUGAAUGUGAAAACCACAUUUCCUGUUCUGUAUAAAUGUACAUGCUUGUUCAGCCAGGAACCGUCAAUUACAUAUGACAGAAAGCACACAGUUAUCCUAUAUUUGGUUCCUAAUAGAGUUGGUACCCAACAUAGUGCUCCACACAUUAGAUACACAUAUUAGAUGCUCAUUAAAUGUUAUCUGAGACUAAUAUUACUUAAUGCAACUCCAGAACAAACUUUAAGUAACACUUGUGUUUCAUUUUUACUUUUUCAAUUUUUUUUUUCCCAAGUAAGGUUGAAUUUCAGUGCUCUUUUCCUUUUUCUUUAAAUUUCUCUAAGACAAGUAGAGUAAUUCCAAAUCAGUUUUUUUUGAAUAUUCUUAUCAGUGCUCAUUCAGCUUUCUUUUCCACUGAAACGCCUUUCCAGCACCUGCUUUUUCAGACCCUGUGCUUUGUACUGGGAAGAUAGUGCUAAAUAAGAAAUGGUUGUAGUGUUUGAGGGGAAGCCAGAUGAAGGUUAGCAGGUUUGCAUUUGAGACCAAAGUGAUGCAGUUAAAUCGGUUUCUUUUCCUGCAGUCCUGAGGGGCCUUCUGGCUGGCCUACUCUUGGGGACUUUGCCCUUCAUUAGUGAGCCACAAUGACAAAUCCCAAGCCAAUUAAAUGAGACUUUUAAAAAGGAAUUUCCUACUAUCCCAGAAUUGGGAAGAAGGCAUGAAUUGGCCAUGUAUAAGCAUUCGUGUGGCCUUAUGGGUAGAAUAGAGUAGGUGAAACUACGUCUUGGCUGUCAAUCAGGCAAAACCAUUGAGAGGCAGGGGUUAUUAGUCGACACAACAGAAAAACUAAUGGUCGAAGUGUAUUACAGCAUGAGCUGAGAUAUGAGAGUAUGAAUAUUAGACAUGACACUAACCAGGAGGAAGAAAAUGUGGGUUUCUGUCCUGAGGUUAAUCAAAGGAUAAAAAUUAAAUGACAUUUUGAGAAAAAACCUGAAACAACUCCUUAGUGGCCAAGUAACAUAAAUUAUGAUAUGUAAACUGUGAAGAUAUUUAUUCAACAUCUCCUUCCCUCUUAAAAAUAUCCCUCCCCGUCUCAGUAUAUUUAUGGAGUUAUAAUACAGAAAUGGUAUAGGCAGUGUAUUAGCUCAGGCUGCCAUAACAAAAUACUACAGGAUUGGGUGGCUUAAACCAAAGAAAUGUUAUUUUCUUACAGUUAUGGAGGUUGGGAGUCCAAGGUAAAGGUGACAGCAUUGUUGGUUUCUGGUGAAAGUCCCCUUCCUGGCUUGCAGAUGGCCACCUUCUUGCUGUGUCCUCCCAUGGCUUUUCCUCUGUACAGAGCUCUCGAGGCUCUUCCUCUUCUUACAGGAACACCCGUCUUACCAGCUCCACCCCCAUGACUUCAUUUAACCUUAAUUAUCUCUUUAAAGGCCCUGUCUCCAAAUACAGUUUCAUUGGGGUUACACAUGCAUUUCAGCACGUGAAUUUUCGGGAACAUAGGCAGCCGUAUUUUGGACCAUUUGUUUAUCUCAAGGUAAAGAAGAUUAUAUUUUUCCAUAGGAACAAAUGGUUGGAGUCUACAUUCCUUCUUCCUAAGGAUGCUGAAAGAAACACAAAUGGUUCAGUUCUUUUUUUCUGAACCCAGGAAUCCAGGAUGAUUCAAAACCCCUUGUGCCCUUGUAUAAAGUUAUACAGACCAUCUGUAUUUAUUUUUCUUCAUGUAUUUACUCUAUAUACUUUUUCAAACAGUAUAAUGAAACUUCAGUGCUUGAAUUAUGGUAUCUGGAGAGUUUGGGAAUUUUUUAUUUAUCUUUAAAAGCAAGAGUUACGCUUCUUAAGUAUUUUGGUCUCAGGACCCCUUUUAUACUCUUACAAAUUAUUGUGAAUCUCUAGGAGAUUUUGUUUAUAUGUCUAGAUAUUUACUGUACUAGAAAUUAGCACUGAAAAUUUUUUU